CUGGGUCUAUCGUUUGUGGGGGGAACCUGGGGAACUCAGGCUAAUACCGCAUACGUCCUACGGGAGAAAGCAGGGGAUCUUCGGACCUUGCGCUAUCGGAUGAGCCCAUGUCGGAUUAGCUUGUUGGUGAGGUAAUGGCUCACCAAGGCGACGAUCCGUAGCUGGUCUGAGAGGAUGAUCAGCCACACUGGGACUGAGACACGGCCCAGACUCCUACGGGAGGCAGCAGUGGGGAAUAUUGGACAAUGGGCGAAAGCCUGAUCCAGCCAUGCCGCGUGUGUGAAGAAGGCCUUCGGGUUGUAAAGCACUUUCAGCGAGGAAGAAUGCCUUGGGAUUAAUACUCCCGAGGAAAGACAUCACUCGCAGAAGAAGCACCGGCUAACUCCGUGCCAGCAGCCGCGGUAAUACGGAGGGUGCAAGCGUUAAUCGGAAUUACUGGGCGUAAAGCGCGCGUAGGUGGCUAAGUCAGCCAGGUGUGGAAGCCCCGGGCUCAACCUGGGAACGGCAUCUGGAACUGCUUGGCUAGAGUGCAGGAGAGGAAGGUAGAAUUCCCGGUGUAGCGGUGAAAUGCGUAGAGAUCGGGAGGAAUACCAGUGGCGAAGGCGGCCUUCUGGACUGACACUGACACUGAGGUGCGAAAGCGUGGGUAGCAAACAGGAUUAGAUACCCUGGUAGUCCACGCCGUAAACGAUGUCAACUAGCCGUUGGGUCCCUUUGAGGACUUAGUGGCGCAGCUAACGCAAUAAGUUGACCGCCUGGGAGUACGGCCGCAAGGUUAAAACUCAAAUGAAUUGACGGGGGCCCCGCCACAAGCGGUGGAGCAUGUGGUUUAAUUUCGAUGCAACGCGAAGAACCUUACCUACCCUUGUACAUUCCAGAAGGGACUUUCCAGAGAAUGGAUUGGUGCCUUCCGGGAAACUCUCUGAAAACCGGUGCUGCAUGGCUUGUCGUCCAGCUCCGGUGUUUGUGGAAAUGUUGGGUUAAGUCCCCGUUAACGGAGGCCGCCCAACCCCCUAUUCUUAUUGCCAGGCGAGAUAUAUGGUCCGGGAAACUUCUAAGGAGAACUGCCCGUUGUAACCAUCCCUGAAGAAGGUGGGACCAAACCCUCAGCUCUAUCUGGGCCUUACGCGUAAGGCCUCACACACGGUGCCCUCAAUGGCAAGUAUAGGGUUGCAAACUGUGCAAAGUGUGGAAC
rnacentral:rRNA from 1 species